rnacentral:rRNA from 1 species
UACCAGCACCCCGAGUGGUCGGGACGUUUAUUGGGCCUAAAGCAUCCGUAGCCGGUUCUACAAGUCUUCCGUUAAAUCCACCUGCUUAACAGAUGGGCUGCGGAAGAUACUAUAGAGCUAGGAGGCGGGAGAGGCAAGCGGUACUCGAUGGGUAGGGGUAAAAUCCGUUGAUCCAUUGAAGACCACCAGUGGCGAAGGCGGCUUGCCAGAACGCGCUCGACGGUGAGGGAUGAAAGCUGGGGGAGCAAACAGG